UACGGAGGAUCCAAGCGUUAUCCGGAAUCAUUGGGUUUAAAGGGUCCGUAGGCGGUUUGGUAAGUCAGUGGUGAAAGCCCAUCGCUCAACGGUGGAACGGCCAUUGAUACUGCCAGACUUGAAUUAUUAGGAAGUAACUAGAAUAUGUAGUGUAGCGGUGAAAUGCUUAGAGAUUACAUGGAAUACCAAUUGCGAAGGCAGGUUACUACUAAUGGAUUGAACGCUGAUGGACGAAAGCCGUGGGUAGCGAACAGG
rnacentral:rRNA from 1 species